rnacentral:lncRNA from 1 species
UAUAAUCAAGCCUAUACCCUUGUCGAGAUAGAGAAAAAAGGUAUCAGUGGCGAAGAAGAUAAUUACUCUUUGAUUUCUCUACGCCAAAAAAAACAGAGAUACAAUAGUAGAAAAUGAUUCGGUUUAUGAGGGGAGAGCCGUUGGUGUCGAAGCUGGCGGUGCUGGCCAGAUUCGCGGUGCUUCCGGGAGCCAUGAUCGCCGCCCUUAUCUAUUCUCCUCCUGAUUACUCUUCCAAAAAGCGGCAGCAGCCUUCUUCAUCUCUUUCCAAAGAGAUUCUCGAUCCUCCAAUGGUUCGUUUCGUAAUUCUACCUUUGUCUUUCAUUUUAUAUAAUUAAUUUGAUUAGUGCUUUGCGUGUUAUUUUACUGGCAAAUUAUGGUGUUGCGCUACAAGUUUUCUAGAUCUAAGGCUAGAUUGUUGUAUUUGCAUCUAUAUUCGUAGUUUUUGAAUUUUGAUUGAAGUGGUUAUGGACAUGUAAAAUUAUGUGCUGAGCUUGUUUGUUGAAGCUUACUAUAGCUGCUAAAUUAUUCAUUAUGAUGACUCUAUUACCUAACAUCAAGUUUUGAAAGUGAUUUAGUUUUUUUUUGGGUGACCUGUGUUGAAGGAGUAUAUGUGAAAAUAGAGAUAAAUAAGCAGCAUACCUAGGUACAUAGUUAAGCUCUCUGCCUAGGUGACCAGAAAGUGAAUAUAUGCUACAUUAUAGUGUAAGUUAUAGGGAGAUGAAACUGGGGAAUUACAUUCCUAAGUACACCCAUUAGCUAUAGUUUUCCUUUGGAAUUCAAAGAAUUUAACUAAAUGUCUCAUCUAUAAUUCUAUAUGCUCCCACUAACUAAGUUGAAGAAAUUCUUAGAUUAUUGUUUUAUUGUACUCCCUUUGUUUGGAAAUGAGUUCCUACUUCUUUUUGUAUAUUCCCCCCCUCCCCGUCCCCGUCCCCGAAUUCUAAGGUUUGUAUAGGACACAAUUGACAUAUAUUUUUAUUUCUAAUCCUAAAAUUUAAAAUUGAAAAAAAAGAUCUCCUAAAAAUUAUACCUAAGCAUAAUUUGUCUAUACAAACCUUAAUAUUCAAAAAAAGAAGUUAACAGCACAAGUAUGAUUCUAGCUUUCAAGAUAGAGGGAGUAGUAAAAUUGACAUUGUAUACUUAUCAAUAAAUAAAUAAACCAAAAUUGUCAUUUUCAAAAUCCAAAUUGAGCCGGUUCUCUGAGUAAUUAACUCUUAAAAAGUUCCAGCUCUGUCCCAAAAUUCAGAGUGGAUCCUUCCUUUCGGAGUUUCCAAUAAUCGCAGUCCUGUAUGAAAAAAUAAUGGCUAAUGCAUAUAUUUCUUAAAUAAACCUGUUGGCUUUAUUAGACUAGUUUUGGAUAUACACACUUUUCCACCAAGGGUGAAUGCACUAAUUAAUGCCACCUCAAUAAGUUGAAUGUUUUCUAAUCAAACUCAUACUAUGGUAUACGAUGGAGUAGUGCAUAAUAUCUUAACGUCAUUUGACACUGUGCUCAGUAGGGAAGAGUACAAGGCCGUUCCGUUUCAGUAAUAGAUUCAACUGUUAUGAUAUAACUUAGCAGUGGUCAGAUGAUUUUGGUUGGGUAGGAUAGGUUUUAUUAGCACUUGCUAAAUUUGCAAGGAAGAAUGAAGUUGGACCAGGCUAGAAUUGCAUUCAUUUAGAUUUGAAACAACACUACGAGAAGUCAAUGAAAGGGAGGUUUUUUUCUUAUGCUCUAAUUCCAUACAAGCCUUGCAUUUCUUUUGUACCGUAGUGCUCAUCAGAUUUAGUCCACCAGGGUCUCUUUCCAUUCAUUCCCCUUAGACUGGGAAAAAAAAGUGUGGUUAGGUUUCAAUUAUUGAAUCAGUUUAGUUUGUCCUUCACAUUUUGUCAGGGGUUCACUGGUUGGUUGUAGGCAGGUUGUACGGGGUUUGAGGAUUGAGUUUUCCUGUCCCUAGGUCUUUACAUCAAAACAUAUGAUUUGAGUUCUUCCUUUACUUUCCUGUUUAAAGACUUGCUAACAGUUGAAGUAACUUUAGCAACCUACUACCAGAUCUUAGCUUGUCUACAAACUAGUUCAUCUUGAAUAAUUCACCUUACCUACCCGAUUGGUCAUAUAUUAUCUACCAAAAUCCUCAAUUAGUUUGAGAUUGAAGAUAAAGUAAUUCAAAUGUUUGGAUACUUCGCUUUAAGAUUUCUAAUUUUUUGUUUUUGUCUGCGUAAAUAAAUAUACUUGGAUGUAUAUAUAGGAGUAGAAUUGGGAUAAUGGUUGCGUUGUUUUGAAUUUGUAGAUGAAAGUGUUUCUCUGCUGUACAGAUGAAAUCAUGAAAAUCAUUUUAUAAUUGGUAGUAUUUUGUUCUGUCCAGUGAUUUCUUUUGGCUUUUUGUUCCCGUCUUAUCUUGCUUAUUGAGUACAAGGUAUUUGUACUUUUUUAUAUAGUAUUUAGAUGUGGACAUAUGAGCUGAUAGAUUUGUUGUCUUCCUUCUAGCAUAAGUUAAGAAUUACAUGAUGAAUGACUAAUGGGUAGUAAUAUUUUUUACCGUGUUCGUACAUAUGGUUCUUUCAGCUCUCUAGGGAUUAGUUGGAUGAUGGAUUCGAUAUGUAAUAAUGCUCAUGGCCACUAUUUUGCUGUAUUCCAGUAGAAGGUGUAUGAGAAUUUGAAAGUUUCAUUCUCCUUUGAAGCAACUGUGAGGUUCCCUUUUCAGUUAUGAAUGUAGUUUACCAACAGUUAUGCUACAGUUUGACAAAUGCAACUUAUGUCUUUACUUUCGCGGCAAAAUGUUUUGAUCUUUUUCUAUUUCUUUAUAUGUGGAACACUUUGGUUUGAUGGCCUUGUUAAAUCAUUUGCAUAGCCUUCUGUGCAUCUGAGUUAUUGAAAAUCAGUCAUCAUGACUUCACCCCAUGACCCAUGGAUGGCCAUAUUUUGUGUUAUUGCGAGUUUGUGGUUUGGUUUCAAUCAUGUUGAUAGACAAGUUCAUACUUUUUUGGAGAUUUCAGGAAUUUUGUUUUUCUUUUCUGGGACUAAAGCAUUGCGGAAGGAGAGACAUUUAGCCAUCUAGGAACAGGAACAUGGGGUUUGUCCACAGUUUGCCAUGAAGGCCCAAACACUAAAGAAGUUAGGAAUUACUAGGAACUGGAGGAAGAAAUAACGCUCCCCAAAUCAACUCCAUAAAGUUGGGGAAGGACAAGAAUUCGAACUUUAUUAUGAACUCUUUUGUCCCCUCCAAAUUCCUAAAGAAGUUAAAAUUAUGAGGAUCUGAAAAAACAAAUAAAGCUGGGGGGAGGCCAAGAAUCAAACCUGUACCAUAAACUCAUUCCAUUUCAACUCGUGAUGAUUGCUUAAUUUAGCCUGUGCCUUUAGUGUAUACAUUGAAGUAUACGUAGCUUUAGAGCUUAAAAAUUGCAAGAGAUUGCAGCCAAAAGUGUUUUGAGGGACCUAAUUGUAAAACAUAAUAAGGUACAAGUUCAUUUACACUAUGAUUUAAAAAUUAAAAGAAC